rnacentral:rRNA from 1 species
AGGACGAACGCUGGCGGCGUGCUUAACACAUGCAAGUCGAGCGGAAAGGCCCUUCGGGGUACUCGAGCGGCGAACGGGUGAGUAACACGUGAGUGAUCUGCCCCUAGCUCUGGGGUAGCUCCGGGAAACCGGGAUUAAUACCGGAUACGACCACCUUAGACAUCUUUUGUGGUGGAAAGGAUUCCGGCUAGGGAUGGGCUCGCGGCCUAUCAGCUUGUUGGUGGGUAACGGCCUACCAAGGCGACGACGGGU